GAUUGGUGCCUUCGGGAACUGUGAGACAGGUGCUGCAUGGCUGUCGUCAGCUCGUGUUGUGAAAUGUUGGGUUAAGUCCCGCAACGAGCGCAACCCUUAUCCUUUGUUGCCAGCGGUUNGGCCGGGAACUCAAAGGAGACUGCCAGUGAUAAACUGGAGGAAGGUGGGGAUGACGUCAAGUCAUCAUGGCCCUUACGAGUAGGGCUACACACGUGCUACAAUGGCGCAUACAAAGAGAAGCGACCUCGCGAGAGCAAGCGGACCUCAUAAAGUGCGUCGUAGUCCGGAUUGGAGUCUGCAACUCGACUCCAUGAAGUCGGAAUCGCUAGU
rnacentral:rRNA from 1 species